UACGAAGGGGGCUAGCGUUGCUCGGAAUCACUGGGCGUAAAGCGCACGUAGGCGGACUCUUAAGUCGGUGGUGAAAUCCUGGAGCUCAACUCCAGAACUGCCUUUGAUACUGAAGAUCUUGAGUUCGGGAGAGGUGAGUGAAACUGCGAGUGUAGAGGUGAAAUUCGUAGAUAUUCGCAAGAACACCAGUGGCGAAGGCGGCUCACUGGCCCGAUACUGACGCUGAGGCACGAAAGCGUGGGGAGCAAACAGG
rnacentral:rRNA from 1 species